AUUCCAGCUCCAGUAGCGUAUAUUAAUGUUGUUGCAGUUAAAAAGCUCGUAGUUGGAUUUCUGGUGUGAUGCGACUGACCGGCAAUGCUUACAUUGUCUGUGUCGGUCUGCAUCUGCCAUCCUUCCAGAAAACCUUUCUACCCUUCACUGGGCCGGACUGGAGAUCUGGAACUUUUACUUUGAAAAAAUUAGAGCGUUCAAAGCAGGCUAUCGCCAUUGAAUACAUUAGCAUGGAAUAAUAAUUUAGGACUUCGGUUCUAUUUUGUUGGUUUCUAGGACUUAAGUAAUGAUUGAUAGGGAUAGUUGGGGGUGCUAGUAUUUAUCGGCCAGAGGUGGAAUUCUUGGAUUCGAUAAAGACUAACUUAUGCGAAAGCAUUCACCAAGGAUGUCUUCAUCG
rnacentral:rRNA from 1 species